rnacentral:rRNA from 1 species
UGGGGAAUUUUGGACAAUGGGCGAAAGCCUGAUCCAGCAAUGCCGCGUGUGUGAAGAAGGCCUUCGGGUUGUAAAGCACUUUUGUCCGGAAAGAAAUCCUUGGCUCUAAUACAGUCGGGGGAUGACGGUACCGGAAGAAUAAGCACCGGCUAACUACGUGCCAGCAGCCGCGGUAAUACGUAGGGUGCAAGCGUUAAUCGGAAUUACUGGGCGUAAAGCGUGCGCAGGCGGUUUGCUAAGACCGAUGUGAAAUCCCCGGGCUCAACCUGGGAACUGCAUUGGUGACUGGCAGGCUAGAGUAUGGCAGAGGGGGGUAGAAUUCCACGUGUAGCAGUGAAAUGCGUAGAGAUGUGGAGAUACCGAUGGCGAAGGCAGCCCCUGGCCAAUACUGACGCUCAUGCACG